rnacentral:rRNA from 1 species
UACGUAGGUGGCGAGCGUUGUCCGGAUUUACUGGGCGUAAAGAGCGCGCAGGCGGCUGGUCAAGUCCGAUGUGAAAGCUCCCGGCUUAACUGGGAAAUUGCAUCGGAAACUGAUCGGCUUGAAGGUGGGAGAGGGUAGCGGAAUUCCCGGUGUAGUGGUGAAAUGCGUAGAUAUCGGGAGGAACACCAGUGGCGAAGGCGGCUACCUGGCCCAUUCUUGACGCUGAGGCGCGAAAGCUAGGGGAGCAAACGGG